rnacentral:rRNA from 1 species
UGGCCGUAAACGAUGUGGACUUGGUGUUGGAAUGGCUCAGAGCUGCUCCAGUGCCGAAGGGAAGCUGUUAAGUCCACCGCCUGGGAAGUACGGUCGCAAGACUGAACUUAAGGAUUGGCGGGGGAGCACCACAACGCGUGGAGCCUGCGGUUUAAUUGGAUUCAACGCCGGACAUCUCACCGGAUAAGACCAGCUGAAUGAUAGUCGGGAUGAAGACUCUACUUGACUAGCUGAGAGGUGGUGCAUGGCGUGUGACUGU